rnacentral:rRNA from 1 species
UACGGGGGGGGGCAAGCGUUUGUUCGGAAUUACUGGGCGUAAAGGGCUCGUAGGCGGCCAACUAAGUCAGACGUGAAAUCCCUCGGCUUAACCGGGGGAACUGCAUCUGAUACUGGAUGGCUUGAGUUUGGGAGAGGGAUGCGGAAUUCCAGGUGUAGCGGUGAAAUGCGUAGAUAUCUGGAGGAACACCGGUGGCGAAGGCGGCAUCCUGGACCAACACUGACGCUGAGGAGCGAAAGCCAGGGGAGCAAACGGG